rnacentral:rRNA from 1 species
UAGCAUAUCAUAAGCGGAGGAAAGAAACCAACAGGGAUUGCCUCAGUAACGGCGAGUGAAGCGGCACAGCUCAAAUUGAAAUCUGGCCCUAGGCCCGAGUUGUAAUUGCAGAGGAUGUUUCUGGCGAGGUGCCUUCCGAGUUCCCUGGAACGGGACGCCAUAGAGGGUGAGAGCCCCGUACGGUUGGUCGCUAAGCCUCUGUGAAACUCCUUCGACGAGUCGAGUAGUUUGGGAAUGCUGCUCUAAAUGGGAGGUAUACGUCUUCUAAAGCUAAAUACCGGCCAGAGACCGAUAGCGCACAAGUAGAGUGAUCGAAAGAUGAAAAGCACUUUGAAAAGAGGGUUAAAUAGUACGUGAAAUUGUUGAAAGGGAAGCGCUUAUGACCAGACUUGGACCGGUUGAUCAUCCAUCGUUCUCGGUGGUGCACUCUGCCGGUUCAGGCCAGCAUCAGUUCGUCCCGGGGGAUAAAGGCUUUGGGAAUGUGGCUCUUCGGAGUGUUAUAGCCCACUGCGUAAUACCCUGGGAUGGACUGAGGUUCGCGCUCCGCAAGGAUGCUGGCGUAAUGGUCAUCAGUGACCCGUCUUGAAACACGGACCAAGGAGUCGUCUUCGUAUGCGAGUGUUCGGGUGUCAAACCCCUACGCGUAAUGAAAGUGAACGUAGGAGAGAGCUUCGGCGCAUCUCCGACCGAUCCUGAUGUUCUCGGAUGGAUUUGAGUAAGAGCAUACGGGGCCGGACCCGAAAGAAGGUGAACUAUGCUUGUAUAGGGUGAAGCCAGAGGAAACUCUGGUGGAGGCUCGCAGCGGUUCUGACGUGCAAAUCGAUCGUCAAAUAUGAGCAUGGGGGCGAAAGACUAAUCG